rnacentral:rRNA from 1 species
UGGGGAAUUUUGCGCAAUGGGGGAAACCCUGACGCAGCAACGCCGCGUGGAGGAUGAAAUCCCUUGGGAUGUAAACUCCUUUCGACUGGGAAGAUAAUGACGGUACCAGGAGAAGAAGCCCCGGCUAACUUCGUGCCAGCAGCCGCGGUAAUACGAGGGGGCAAGCGUUGUUCGGAAUUACUGGGCGUAAAGCGCGUGUAGGCGGUUGUUCAAGUCAGGUGUGAAAGCCUUGAGCUCAACUCAAGAAAUGCACUUGAUACUGGAUGACUAGAGGACCGGAGAGGAUAGUGGAAUUCCCAGUGUAGUGGUGAAAUACGUAGAGAUUGGGAAGAACACCAGUGGCGAAGGCGGCUAUCUGGACGGUUUUUCUGACGCUAAGACGCGAAAGCGUGGGGAGCAAACA